rnacentral:tRNA from 1 species
AGACGGUUAGUCUAAGAAAGAUACUUGAUUUCGGCUCAAACGUUUAUGGUUAAAGUCCAUAACCGUCUU